CUUCGGAUCGUAAAACUCUGUUAUUAGGGAAGAACAAAUGUGUAAGUAACUAUGCACGUCUUGACGGUACCUAAUCAGAAAGCCACGGCUAACUACGUGCCAGCAGCCGCGGUAAUACGUAGGUGGCAAGCGUUAUCCGGAAUUAUUGGGCGUAAAGCGCGCGUAGGCGGUUUUUUAAGUCUGAUGUGAAAGCCCACGGCUCAACCGUGGAGGGUCAUUGGAAACUGGAAAACUUGAGUGCAGAAGAGGAAAGUGGAAUUCCAUGUGUAGCGGUGAAAUGCGCAGAGAUAUGGAGGAACACCAGUGGCGAAGGCGACUUUCUGGUCUGUAACUGACGCUGAUGUGCGAAAGCGUGGGGAUCAAACAGGAUUAGAUACCCUGGUAGUCCACGCCGUAAACGAUGAGUGCUAAGUGUUAGGGGGUUUCCGCCCCUUAGUGCUGCAGCUAACGCAUUAAGCACUCCGCCUGGGGAGUACGACCGCAAGGUUGAAACUCAAAGGAAUUGACGGGGACCCGCACAAGCAGCGGAGCAUGUGGAUUAAUUCGAUGCAACGCGAAGAACCUUACC
rnacentral:rRNA from 1 species